rnacentral:rRNA from 1 species
AACGAACGCUGGCGGCAGGCCUCAUACAUGCAAGUCGAGCGGGCUGUAGCAAUACAGUCAGCGGCGAACGGGUGAGUAACAGGUGGAUAAUCUACCUUCCGGCGGGGGAUAACAACUGGAAACGGUUGCUAAUACCGCAUACGGUCGCGGGAAUGCGGAUUCCUGCGAAGAAAGGCGCUUCACGGCGUCACCGGGAGAUGAGUCCGCCCCCCAUUAGCUAGUUGGCGGGAUAAUAGCCCACCAAGGCUACGAUGGGUAGCCGAGCUGAGAGGUUGAUCGGCCACACUGGAACUGAGACACGGUCCAGACACCUACGGGUGGCAGCAGUAGGGAAUAUUGCGCAAUGGGCGAAAGCCUGACGCAGCCAUGCCGCGUGAGUGACGAAGGUCUUCGGAUUGUAAAGCUCUUUUCUGAGGGAAGAAUUGCCGGGUCAGGAAAUGGUCCCGGCUUGACGGUACCUCAGGAAUAAGGAACGGCUAACUCCGUG